GGAGACGCAAUUCUGUGAGCCUAAGUCUCUGCUGGUCUGGUCCUCUUGGCUCUCUUGAGAGACCCAAGUACAGGUGACUUCCCUGACUCUGGCUGGGCUCCGUAAGCUGUCUUGAGGCUACGCAGCGUCUAAGGCGUUAUCCUUAACCUCCAGCUCCCUCCGGCUUUGCUUUUCUCUCUCUUCUUGACUCUUCUGAAGUUUUUCCUUGUUCCUGUCUCUCUUCCUCCUGUCUGCUGCAGCCUCACACACCAGACAGUUCUCAAGAUGUCCUUCGGGGGAGCCUCCAGGAAGACGAAGAAGAGGCACUAGGUGCAUGCCUACACAGAGGAAAGCCAUGUGAGGACACAGCGAUAAGAUUGCUGACUGCAAGCUCAGGAGAACUUAGAAGAAACCAACCCUACCAGCACCUUGAUCUUGGACUUCCAGCCUCCAGAACUGUGAGAAAGAAAGAGACAAAGGAGAUAGAAGAAGUGGAAUAAGGGGAAAGAUAAGAACUGGAAAGCUGAACCAUAGCCCAGACCCAAGCAGGAGAAAGAGCAAGAAAUGCCUAUGAGAAAGCCGGAAAGAAACCCCUGGAAUUUGGAAGAAAAUGUCUAAAAGGGAAUGGCAAGGAACCUGAGGAACCAGCGUGAGGAAAACCUGGAUGAUCUGACGUCUUCCUCACUUUAUCCCUACCUGUCCACGCCUCCAUCCAUCCACCCAUCCAUCACUGAUCAAGCUCUCACUAUGUCUAUAGUGUAGAAGGUGCCACCAAAUGCAAUGGAACCUCUUGUCUCAUGUGUCUACUUGCAUCUUUAAGUUGAUACACGGAAGGCACAGUCCAAGCACAGGAUACUGGAAGCUAUGGAGGUACAGUGGCCUCUGAGCAAACUGAAAACUCUCUAUCACUAAAGGGUUGGGCAUACAGGGUAUCUCCUCUGCUCUGCCACCUACCUUGAGGAUGCUUUACAUGUGGCUAAAAGUGGAGGCAGAGAUAUUUGGAUAAAUAAAUGCUAGAGAAUUGGAAAUUCCUAGGACAAGUCAA
rnacentral:lncRNA from 1 species